rnacentral:tRNA from 1 species
GCGCCAGGUGGCGAAGCACUAUCGCGAAGCGCUGGCGGCGUUGCCGGUGACCUUCCAGGCGGUCGCCGGCGCG